AUCAACCCUCUCAUGCUAGAGUCAUCUAAAAAUUCUUUUUUCCCCUUCAAUCAGCAAGAGCCUGAAAACACUAGGCAUGCAAGAACCUGUGAUCUCAUGCAAGAAUGAUUUAUUUAUUUAUUUUUUUGUCUUGACUAAAUGAUCAGCAGUUGUAUUUUCUAUUUUUAUCUGUUAGGUAAAUGAAAAGAAUGAAUAUCUGUUCACUGAGACUCCCCUGUUAAAUUGUUCGGAAGUUCAAGAAUUUCUUUUCUGUUCCUAAGAGUAAAACUGAAAUGCUUGGGACCAUAAUACAUGUUCCUUUUGCUAUUAUUUGAUGCCUGAUAUGAUGGCAGGAACUGGUAUAAAGUGUGUUCUUAUCCUUUGAGAAUAAGUUCUUUUCAUAAUUUGAAUAUAAAAGGAAGAGCCAUGAGCCAAACAAACAUCAAGCCUCCUAGCAUAUUAAGGUCUGUAGCAAAAAUGUCAUUCGGGAGCCACCACCACCACCACCACCAGCACCACCACCACCCACAGCAAAGCCAUGUGGAGUUCCAUGAGGCAAGGAUCUCCUCAGGGGGAGACUACUACGCCUAUGUCUCUUCGUUGGAGAAGGCUACGUCUGAAAGACCUCUCCUCACAAACACUCACCAAGUAUACAAGCACAAAGAGGCCUGUGAAGUAGAGGAUAGUUUCCGACCAGCCACCUAUCGUGUGUCUGAGACCACCUAUGAGGAGAAUGUCGACAUGGAAUCUGGAGACUACAUCAAGCGCAAACACCUUAUGAUGAUCAAUUCGGCCUGAAAGUACUCCGUAUAGUUACUAAGAAAUGGAUGUCAGAGAUUGGCAUCUUCAUAAAUAAAAUUCUGGCUCUUCUGUACUGUGGGUGAGCCAUCUGGAUACUGCUUUAUGUAUGAUCCUCUAGUUUUCAGUAAGUAAUUCUUACAUAUAAAUCUACAAGAAAACACACAAAGAUCUUGUCUCUUUUUUCUUUGGCACACAGAAUGUCAACAGUGGAGAACUGGAGAUCAUAUUGCAUGAAUGAAUUAGAAGAAAUCACAAUCUUGUUUGUGAGUGCAAGCAUCCCGGCCGACAUUAGAAUAGGUGGAUCAAUUUUAGGGAAGGUUGAUUUGUAAGCUUACCAUUGUAAUUUUCUGACUAAAAAGUUCAUAAAGUUUAAAUACUCACUGUCCACAUUAUUAGAUAUUCUCUUCUCUACAUAUGAACCGUAACUUCAGUUAUUCUUGAUCUCUAUAUUUCUACACUUUCAUUUCUGUUUUCCCUUUUUCCUUCUUUGUAUAUACAUUUCCCAGAAUUAUGGUAGUUGUAUUUGGUUGUUUCAAAUCAUGCUAUUUGUUAACCAGAACUAUUUCAAAAAGCUAGAAAUACAACAACACUGUUUUUCUUAAGAAGAUUGAUCGAUAGCAGGAAAACUAUAUCCCUAGAUAAUUUCUCUUUUGAUGUUGAUGUCAGACUAAAGUUAGCAGAAAAGAACAUCCUGACAAACUUUCGUUUGUAUCACCUAGAUACACUGAUAAAGAAAGGUGUCUACUACACCGCAUGGUAGCUUGUUUUGUACGUGCCAUUCACAAAGCCAUAAGUUUGAACUUAUUAAUCUUUAGUCAUGACUCAUUCGGGAAAAGUCAUUUCAUUAAUUAUUUGUUGAUCAUGAAGUAGUUUGAGGAUGGAAAAAUAUUUGAAGAAUCAUUCAACUAAAUUUUGUGAUUUAAUUGUUGUCUUUUUAAUAGUAUUUCACAUGUAGGGAUAAGAUUGCUUAUAUUGGACCCUUAUAUUUGGCAUUGAUGGGAGGCUCGUAGAGGGAGAGCUUACUUUUUAAUGUUUCUAGUAGAGCGCAUCAAAUUCUGUUAUUUAAGUCCAUUUGUUGGUGGUAUAAAUGUGGAACAUCUUUCACUUGUCUACUGGAGCUCAGUUCAGUGGAAUUGUAGAUAGAUUUCUCAGACAUCAGUUCAGUGGAGAAAGAAUAAAGGUAUGGCUGAUGCCUAAAAAAGGUGGGUGUGGAUUCUCUUCAUGUGGUGGAGGUUCCUCUUUUAAAUUAAUUGUCCUGGUUUGAUGUGGUUGAUGUCUCAUCAGUGAAGGUUGAUGCCCAUCAGAUGUGAUGGUUUUUCGGCACCAGCAGAAGCAUCCCACAUGGACAGGAUAUUUUUGCAACUCUUGUUAUCUUAUUACAGGAAGAAGCUUGAACUUCGAGGAUACAGAAAUUCGAUCAACUGGGCUGAUAUUAUCAUGCCUAAAAAUUUUUGGCUAUAAAUUUUCCAUGUAUUUGAAGUUCCAGUAACAACUAAUCUUCUAUUUUAUGAUCUUAUAUGCUUUCUUGGAUCCUUGGAUGCUGCUUAAUAGUAGAUUUGUUUCCUUGAAUGUCUCUUCUAUGAAUUUAUAUGGUCUGUUGGAUUGUUGGAUGCUGCUUACUAGUAGAAAAUUUUCUUUUUUCUGUUAUCUCUCUUAGUUAUAUGGUGUGUUAGAUCUUUGGAUGCUGCCAAGUAGUAGAAAUGUUUCCUUGGAUGUCUCUUCUGUGAAUCACAUGCUAUGAUGGAUCCCUUUAUGUGCUUUAGUAGAAAUGUUCUUUGAUUAUAAUUCUGUGAACUUAUAUGGUGUGUUGUGGAUCUUGUGAUGAUGUAAAUGACUAGAAUGUGUUGCAGAUCUUACAUAUAGUGAAGGCAGGAACAAUGACAUUGUGGAUGAUUUACAUAUAGUGAAGGCAGGAACAAUGACAGUGAAGGCAGGAACGUUUCCAACUCAUGACACGCACACUAAUAUCGAGCUUCUUGAUGACAAGAGGUGCACUAAUGGCGAAGAAGGUUCUCUUGCAGGCCGUGCUGCUCGCAUAGUCCCAUCUUGUUCGGCGACAAGGAUGUGACGUUGGAAGGGAGCUGUAUGAGUGGUGGCGUGGCUACCACAUGGUGCGGCGAGACGUGAGGAACACCGAUCCCGUCAUCGCUCUUGCUGUUUGUAGUGGCGCUUUCAGGAGUCGAGUCAGUCGUGCUAACGAGGACUAGCAAUGGAAACCCAUUGUAAAGUGUGACUCGAUUUUAGAGGUCUCUAACUUGGAGUUUCUUUGGGAGAUCUAUCAUGUAUGAGCUGCUGCCUGCUCGAUCGAGUGGUGGGACUUUAUUUCCCCUUUAUCUUUUUUUUGUGUGUUUGUUUUAAAGGCUCUCAACUUCUAGAAGUUCUCUCUCACUCAUAUAACAUCAAAUUCAUGACGCUAAAAUGUGAAAGAUUUCAUAUUACCCUAAUAUUAAUUGUUGGAAGAGGAGAUAUUUUUUA